rnacentral:rRNA from 1 species
GUGGGGAAUAUUGGACAAUGGGCGAAAGCCUGAUCCAGCCAUGCCGCGUGUGUGAAGAAGGUCUUCGGAUUGUAAAGCACUUUAAGUUGGGAGGAAGGGCAGUAAGUUAAUACCUUGCUGUUUUGAUGUUACCGACAGAAUAAGCACCGGCUAACUUCGUGCCAGCAGCCGCGGUAAUACGAAGGGUGCAAGCGUUAAUCGGAAUUACUGGGCGUAAAGCGCGCGUAGGUGGUUUUGUAAGUUUGAGGUGAAAUCCCCGGGCUCAACCUGGGAACUGCCUCAAAAACUGCAUGACUAGAGUACGGUAGAGGGUAGUGGAAUUUCCUGUGUAGCGGUGAAAUGCGUAGAUAUAGGAAGGAACACCAGUGGCGAAGGCGACUACCUGGACUGAUACUGACACUGAGGUGCGAAAGCGUGGGGAGCAAACAGGAUUAGAAACCCUAGUAGUCC